AUGCAGUCGUACGAUGAUAGACCCAGCUUGCUGGGCGAGAUUAGUGGCGAACGGGUGAGUAACACGUGAGUAACCUGCCCUUGACUCUGGGAUAAGCCCGGGAAACUGGGUCUAAUACCGGAUAGGAGCGCCUGUCGCAUGACGGGUGCUGGAAAGAUUUUUCGGUCAUGGAUGGACUCGCGGCCUAUCAGCUUGUUGGUGAGGUAACGGCUCACCAAGGCGACGACGGGUAGCCGGCCUGAGAGGGUGACCGGCCACACUGGGACUGAGACACGGCCCAGACUCCUACGGGAGGCAGCAGUGGGGAAUAUUGCACAAUGGGCGAAAGCCUGAUGCAGCGACGCCGCGUGAGGGAUGACGGCCUUCGGGUUGUAAACCUCUUUCAGCAGGGAAGAAGCGAAAGUGACGGUACCUGCAGAAGAAGCACCGGCUAACUACGUGCCAGCAGCCGCGGUAAUACGUAGGGUGCGAGCGUUAUCCGGAAUUAUUGGGCGUAAAGAGCUCGUAGGCGGUUUGUCACGUCUGUCGUGAAAGUCCGGGGCUUAACCCCGGAUCUGCGGUGGGUACGGGCAGACUAGAGUGCAGUAGGGGAGACUGGAAUUCCUGGUGUAGCGGUGGAAUGCGCAGAUAUCAGGAGGAACACCGAUGGCGAAGGCAGGUCUCUGGGCUGUAACUGACGCUGAGGAGCGAAAGCAUGGGGAGCGAACAGGAUUAGAUACCCUGGUAGUCCAUGCCGUAAACGUUGGGCACUAGGUGUGGGGACCAUUCCACGGUUUCCGCGCCGCAGCUAACGCAUUAAGUGCCCCGCCUGGGGAGUACGGCCGCAAGGCUAAAACUCAAAGGAAUUGACGGGGGCCCGCACAAGCGGCGGAGCAUGCGGAUUAAUUCGAUGCAACGCGAAGACCUUACCAAGGCUUGACAUGUUUCGACCGCCGUGGAGACACGGUUUCCUCUUUGGGGCGGAUUCACAGGUGGUGCAUGGUUGUCGUCAGCUCGUGUCGUGGAGAUGUGGGUUAAGUCCCGCAACGAGCGCAACCCUCGUUCCAUGUUGCCAGCACGUAGUGGUGGGGACUCAUGGGAGACUGCCGGGGUCAACUCGGAGGAAGGUGAGGACGACGUCAAAUCAUCAUGCCCCUUAUGUCUUGGGCUUCACGCAUGCUACAAUGGCCGGUACAAUGGGUUGCGAUACUGUGAGGUGGAGCUAAUCCCAAAAAGCCGGUCUCAGUUCGGAUUGGGGUCUGCAACUCGACCCCAUGAAGUCGGAGUCGCUAGUAAUCGCAGAUCAGCAACGCUGCGGUGAAUACGUUCCCGGGCCUUGUACACACCGCCCGUCAAGUCACGAAAGUCGGUAACACCCGAAGCCGGUGUGACGCAUGA
rnacentral:rRNA from 1 species